CUCCUCCUAUACAACACAGGUCUUUAACAUGCAGAGCUCUAUUUCUUUGGCUUCUCUAGUUAUGUCUGGAGGGAUGAGCAAAAAUUGGUUUUAAGUUCCCAAAAUGCAAAGGAAAUAUAUUUAAAAAAGCUGUGAGUCAUCCGGGGGCUUACCAUGAUUGGAGACAGAGGCAAAUCGUCAUUUUUGGUGUAUUUUGUUUUGGUCUCCAGCAUUACUGGGAAAAUACGCUCCUGGGAAUGUGAAAAUUGGAGGAACUCUCAAGUUUUCGGUUCCUCUGAGUGCUUCUACGAGACGCCUGAAGAUGUUUUCCAGUUUGUAAAUAUUUCAAUGGACUUUUGGCAAGCAAACGGAUUCUGUCAGCAUCACUUCAGCAAGCUCCUUUCUGAUGAAAUGGACAGUGAUGUGGAAUACACAUCGAAACUUCUUCAGGCUGCCCAAAUGAAACAUCCUAUCUGGAUCGUGGAUGUGUACCAUUACAACUGGAGAUUCCCACCCUUCUUGGGAAAGUAUGUUUCAAUACCAGCCUUGAAUUUCAAGGAGGAGUCCCAUGCCAUGUACGCCAGAGUGGACAUUGAGUUUCCCCCAUUGCCAGCGGUCACUGUGUGCGCCCGGGUGCAGUGGCACAGUGCCAACAGCCAGGUGUCCACUGUCUUCUCUUACGCAGCUCUUCAGCUAACCAAUGAGUUUCAGCUGCGGGGUCAGCAGGACAAGGAUGGAAACAUAAUCCUGGCCUUGAUUGUGCACGGAAACCACAAGCCUUACAAGGCCUCCUUUAGAAACGACGGGAAAUGGCACCAUCUUUGUGUUACCUGGCAAAAGUACAAUGGAAAUUGGGCUAUCCAUGUGGAUGGGAAAAGGCGAGACUCGGGGAAUGGGACUGAGACCUCCCGAAAUAUUUAUGGAAGUGGGAUUUUCAUCAUUGGGCAUGAUCAAGACUCCUUCGGAGGAAACUUUACAGAGCCCUUUGUUGGGAAUAUCACAGCCUUAGGUAUAUGGAAUAAAACGUUGGACGAGCAUCAGAUCAAUGAUCUCAGCGUCUGUUCGCACAUUUCGGGAGACCUCAUGUUCAUGUGGAAUUUGAGCCAGAUGACCGUCAAGCCGGCUCCUCAGCUGUCCCUGACCAAGCUCUGGUGUGAACAUCCCAAGCAAAUACCUUCAGAAGAGUGCAGAACGAUCUCAGUGGACCCCUCCCAGCAACUGUCUCUUUACAAAUAUGUCCCCUGCCAACGGACUCUGCCCUUCGUGUGCAAGCACAAUAAAGAUAGUUUUUUGAAGAUGAAGGAAAUCGAAGAAGCUCUCGAAGGCAAACCAAGUCACUUCAUGCAUUGUUUAACCCAGCUAUCCAAUGAUACUAAUAUAAAAGAAUCCAUCUUCCCGAGCAUCCCUAAGGACCUGAGCGUUCCGGAGGUGCACGAUAUCUUGAAGUUCUCACAACAGGCUCUGGUGGAUGUCGGCACUCCGCUCGAGCCUGCCGACAUGGUGAGCCUAGUGCAGUUCCUUUCCCAGGCGGCAGCCGUGAAAAUCAGAGGCAACGAGAGUCACGAUGCCAUUAGGAACAUGAGCAGUUUCUUCAUCACUGUGGCUGACACGAUGUUCAGGGAAGAGAACAUCAACAAGUGGAUGGCUGUGAAGGAGAUCGUAAAUGGGCCCAUGACUGUGGUUCACAGCAUUGACAGGAUGGUGGCCAAUCUCAACCCGCUGCUAAUGGCUAAGAAAAGCAGGAUUGUCUUUGACAGCACCAACAUCAAACUUGAAGUACGACAGAAAGGUCUUGGCUCUGGCGCCGAUGGCUCAGACUUCCAUGGGCCGACACCUGAAAAUGAAACAAAAGUUGAUUUUAUUACAGUCCCAGAAGACAAGAUCCAGCAGCUCUAUCAGCAUGGAAUUCAGAAUAUUACAUUAAUAAAUACAUGGUAUGGCUCUCUGCUUCCUUUAUUUGGAAUUGAGGAUAACAUCACACAGUUUUCUACUGUGACUGAUGGAAGCCAAAAACAUGUGGGCACAGUGCUGGGGUCAUCUGUAAUAUCAGCUACAGUUCUUGGUGAUAACCGACCAGUAAACACAGCUGUGAACUAUGAACUUCGGCACAGAUUAGAGAACCUUCAUGGAGCAGAAUAUGAACCAAUUUGUGCCUUUUGGGAUUUUCACCUCAAGCCAGAGAAAGGAGGCAGCUGGUCUACAGAGGGCUGUUUUAUCACAUCCUUGGGAUAUGAAUCCACAACCUGUUUCUGCAACCACACAACCAACUUUGCCUUGCUGCUGCAGAUUUACGAAGUGCAGAGAACUCCACAAGAUGAGAAUGCUCUCCGGAUAUUGACCUUCGUGGGGUGUGGAGUGUCUUUAUGUGGCUUAACUAUGACAUUUAUUCUUUUCAUUGCAGUAGGCGUUCCUAAUUCGGAUAGAACAACAGUUCACAAGAAUCUGAUUUUUGCUUUGGGAGUUGCACAACUAUUACUGAUGUUCAGUGAUCUGGCCAGUACCAACAAGGGGCUGUGCACUGCCGUGACAGCUUUGCUGCAUCUCUUUUUCCUGGGAUCGUUCUCCUGGAUGCUGGUGGAAGGCCUGCUGCUCUGGAGCAAGGUCGUCUCCGUGAACAUCAGCGAGGACCGGAGGAUGAAGCUGUACUACGCUAUCGGCUGGGGUUUGCCAGUUGUUAUUGUUGGUAUCACCUUGGCAACUUCUUUUAACAAGUAUGUGGCGGACAAUUAUUGCUGGCUGAACGCUCAGACUGAUGUUAUUUGGGCUUUUGUUGGCCCUGUUAUCUUUGUCCUCUCUGUGAACACCGUUGUUCUGUUCCGGGUUGUGAUGGUGACGGUCGCCAGCGCGCGGAGGCGGUCCAAAAUGCUGACACCGAGCACGGCCUCACAGAUCCAUGCCCUGGAUCUCACUUGGACUGCCACCAAGCCAGUGAUUAUACUUCUGCCAGUGCUGGGCCUGACCUGGCUCUGUGGGAUUCUGGUUCAUCUCUCAGUGAUUCUUGCCUAUAUUUUCAUCGCAAUGAAUGCCUUUCAGGGUCUGUACAUAUUCCUGGUAUAUGCAGUGUAUAACAGUGAGGUGAGAAAUGCCAUAAGAAGAAUGAAGGAAAAGAAAAAGGCACUCUCUUUUACAAAUUGCUCCCAGCCAAUAAGUUUCCUAACUUCCCAGAGGGCCACAGGCUCUUGGGAUAAUUCAAAACCUCAUCCUUCAGCUUCUGAGAACAGCGAGUCUUCGGCAGGUCAGACGGGUUCCACAAAGAAAUCUCUUGUCAUUCAAAAUGAGAGUUUUGGAAAAGAUAGCUUUGUGAGCUUUUCCCUGAAACCAGCAUCAGGGAAUCAGAAACACCUGGUUGUCGUGGGAAACAAAACGCAGGGCGUUGCAGUAUUGGCUCGUGCAAGUCCAGAGCCAGGUGGAAAGCAAGGAUAGUAUCUCCCUGCCUGCCCAGCCUGAGUGUUUUUCUAAAUGAAAAGGGAGUUCAGCUGACAGCCUUCAAACCAUCAGGUUGCUGAAGUCUAACUCACCCUGUCGAGAGAGACAGAGACAUGGGCAUUGCAGCAAGGUGCUGGAAAACUGCUCGAAGAUCUUUACAACCUCAAAGGAGUGACAAAUCCACAUUACUGGCUGCAAUCAGUGGACAAUUUAGAAUGCAGCUUGAUGACUGGAUUAUGAAAAACAGAAUCCAAACCUGUCUUUUCCAGGAUCAAUAUUGUUCUUGUAAUCCCUACAGUCAUAUUAACCCAUAAACAGAAAUAGCCAAUGCAGUUGUUGCUGACAUUGAUAAUAUUUUCUGCAAGUCGUGAGUUUGCUGAAGUGAGAACUAAUCAUUGCAUUAAAUGAGCCCUAGAUGUGCCAAAACUGGAAAAAAAAUUAAAUGUCAGGUAUGCACAAAUGAUGAGUAGACCAGCUUUCAGAAUAUUUACAUGUAUAAUAUUAUGUGUUUUAAAAUUCUGUUAAUUUCUUCUUAACACAUAAGUAUUUUAUGAGCCUUGUGCUUGGGGGAAAUAUCUAAGUGUUAUACAAGUGAGCAGAUAAAUAAAGAAGAAUGUUCUAUACUAAUAUACUUUCCAUUCAAAUCUUCUGGUGAUAAGCAUGUAAAGAUGUAUCUGUACGUCUUCUCUACUGGAAUGGCUAAUUAAAAUGAUACCUUCAAGGUGAGGCAACAAAACAACCCUGAUCUACCACGCUUUUGUAAGUAAAACAUCCAUUGAGAAGUUUCAUAAUUGGAAAAAGUCAUAAAUAAAUGCCAUGGCAUUUAUUUCUUAUCAAGCAUGACUUUAAACACAUUGAGCCUUUUAUAUGAUUUUCAUAAUCUCUCAUAAGGCUCAAUCAAGAUACAAUUAGAUAAGACUACAGGUAAGUUACAGUUAUGUUAUAGCUACCAUAACAUUUCAAAAUCCUAUGAAAGACCAAUAGGUCAUAAAAAUGAAUCGAAAGUUAGAUACAGUAUGUUCUCUUACUCCAGGUUACUGAAUAAUAAUGAUUACCACCUGGCAAAAACCAUCUACAGUAUGUGCUGUUGAUUUUACUAUACAUUAAAUAGGACUCAUACUUCACAAAGUUUCAAUAUUGUUUUUAGUUCAAAUCUUCAUCUUCCAAUAUUACCACAGAUCUUUUUUGAUAACAGUAGUCUCAUUGACUUUUAUUUAAAAACUUGUAAGUUUUGUGAUUCAACUCUAACAAGCAAAUCAGUAGACAAUGAGAGCUGAUUAAAACAUUCCUGAGAUUUUUUUGCAUGUUUUAAUUGGACAAAAGGCUGGAUGCAUUUGCACAUACCUUGGAUUAGUGGAUUAAUUCUCUGAUGUAAUUUCACUUGUUCAAAACCAAUAGGCCUUUGCUAAAGUUAUAUGCAAAAUGUUACCUUGUAGCACAUUAGAAAAAAACAUGUUUUUGUUUUGGACAACAUUUAUGUCAACAACCUGGAAUGCAUUGUUGCUGAAAUGUGAGGGAGUUUCUCAGAUUUAAUGUAAAAGUUGGAGGUAAAUGUUUCAUACAAUUUCCUGAUAACUUUCCCCUGGUUUGGAAGAAAUAAGUGUUUGGGGUGUGUGCUGUAAUAAACCAUAUAAACCAA